AGCAGCUAUUUAUAUGCAUCUAAAUUCUGAAAUCUUUUUGAAACUUUCGGUUUUAUUUCUGAUUGUGGGAUUCAGUGUCACUUCUUAGCACAUUGAGUACUGAUGGCUUUGAACAUACAGUAUGGCACAAAGCGAUAACUUGUGCACACUACCCUGCUGAGAGACAAUUCUAAAGGAAAAGUGAUUUUUAUGCUGGGGUUUUGUCUGAUUUUAGAAUUAGGGGAAAUAUUAAAGAGCAUAACAAAAUAUUUUAAUUCCUCUAUACACCACUAAAUUACUUGUUACCUUAUUUAUCCAAGUAGCAGCUACCUGAGAGCAGAGGCUGCUUUCUGAAGUCAUUCUCUACAUAGAAUUGUACUAAAACCACUAAAUCAUGAAGUGAACAGACAAGUUUUGCAGUGAAGAGUGUUAUUUACUGGGUCUGUGCACACUUACCAAAAGCAUAUGUAAAGGGAGAAGAAUAUUAGAGUGAUAUAAAAGAAAUGGGCUCCCUAAAAUCUACUCUGUCAUAAGGUAGAAGGAAGAAGACUUUGGGUUUCUGGCAAAACCUGGGUGAACCUGAAAUCAUGCCAUACUUCGAGGUAUCUCUACUGGAAUAAUUGUAGUAACCGUAGUUACCAUAAAACCUGAUACUAAAUCUAAGUGUAGCAUAUUUCCUUAAGCAGGACAAGCAGAUGUAAUGUUUUGAAUUGGACGUGAAUGUUGAAUUGGUGGUACUUGAAAGUACCUAUAGGACUAUCUAAAACAUAUUUUCUUGAUAAUGUGUUUUCCUGUAUUUUCUAACCUCUAUUUUUUAAGUUCAUUUUUUUUUCUGAUUUCUAGAUGACUCUUGGUAUCCAGCUGCUCUCUUGUACUUCCUUGUAUCUUGCUUGUAGACAGUGUAUCAUCCCAAAUUCUUACAGGGCAUUCAGCUGUACUAGAUUACCCAAAUUACUACAGGUCACAGCUGAAAUGCAUUAGUGGAAUUAAAUAGGAAAGCUUGCCCAGUAUAGGCUCUGCUGUUCUUACUGUCUUUUAUUGCUUUCAUAAGAAGAGUGGGAGAUUAUUGAAAGACAUAUUUAUAAAAGAUACAGUGCAGUGCAGCUACACUGCAGGUUUAUGCCAAAUUAGGUCUUGAACCUGAAUGAAUUCAGGCAUCUGCUGCAGUUCAGAUUACAGUUCACUGUGUGACCUCACACAUGUAGGUUGGCCUCCUCCUGGUUUGUUUAACCCAUCCACAAAAUUGAGAAAAACAGGUACCUCCAUAAAAAAACAGGUGUGCAUCUGGGCACAACUGUCCUGGGUAAAUAGAUUACAAAGAAGGCAGAGGCUCAAGUGAGGGGAUAAUAAAGAGGAAAUACAAGUCUCUUUGUCUCCUACACACCUUUAUCAUUAACUUAGUGGUGCACUGUGUUUACAUUUAUUGGGCGUAUUUAGUCUCACUGGCCUUCCAGCAGAACAGAUCUGGGGUCAUUGUCUUUUCCUGCAAUUCAGUGCAUGAGAAGCACUAUGUGGUUAGUCUUAUUGGAGGGAACACAGGCACAGGCUUUAGUGACUUGUGAAUGAAUCAAUAAAGCAUGUUCCUGUAGGUUUCUAAAUUGUCUCUUUCAUUAAGAAUGGAAUUGGGCAGCAGAAGAUCGAUUUUUCGUGGCAAAUCAGAGGGGUUUUAUCAGACCUUCAUUUAGGUCGUGGAUUUUUGAAGUAAAAAAACUUUAUCAAAAAUACUAUACAGGAUUUAAACUGCUACAAGGAUCAUAAAUAGUUUGAAUGUCCUUUUUCAGAACACUUUCUUGAACUCAGAAUUACGUGAGACCUGGUCUUUAGCAAUCCCUACAGAUAAUUAAAUGAGUGGAAAGCUGCUAAGCUCCCAUAGCUGAGGAUCGUGGCUUAUGGAGCAGCAGAUGUGGUGUUGGUUAAAAGAUAUUUGGAAAGGGAAGCAUUCACACAGAAAUGUUACUGCUGCUAAGGUUAUACAUGUCUUUGUAUAUCACAAUUGCUUACAGCAGCUCUUGAUGAGUGAGUGUGACAUGAACUCUGCAGGAAAUGCAGUCAUCCUUUAGAAUCAUCUAAAAUAAUGAUUAUUGUACAGGUAUGGAACAGGCAGAGAGGUGUUUCAAAUCUACUGAUUUUUGCAUCCUCACCACGUGGCUGUGAAGUUCUGAAGAAACUUACCUUUACAGGUGUGGUUCAUCUGAAUAUUCUUUUCCUGCAUGGCACAUACAGGCUUACUUGAGUGUGGUAGUACACCUUGGCAGUAUUCUUUUAGGACAGUAUAACUUGCUUGGGGAUAAUACAGUGUUCAUCUUGGAAUCUAUGCUUUUAGUACACACAUAUGCCUUCCUAGCAUCCUGAACCAGUGUUAUUUCCAUGGACAGACAAGGGCAGUGCUGCAUAUGCAUUUCUUAAUUUUUUAAUAGGCUCAUCAAGUAGAAAUUUGUAUUUCCAAAUCCUGAGGGAGCUGGAGAAACAUGGAUGAGGCACAGUGCUGAGCCUAGGCAAAAAUCAGCUGAAUCUAAAUCAAGAGCAGCAUCAACAGUAAUACUUAGAAGCACAGAGCUUUUUUAAGAAUGGAUAAUUUGCCAGGCAUUACUUUCCCCAUAGACAGUGUUGUAAGAAGUUGUCUAUCAAUAGGUCGCUACAUAUUCCAAAACAAGUUGAAGCCAAAUAAGUCAUCAUAAGAUGGUCAUCACCUCUUAUAUAGAUUUAGCUUUAGCUUGCAUGUACAUACCUGCAGAAGAUAACAGUGUUUUCUAGCAAUUCUCUUGAGAGGCAGUUACAUUAAUUUUCUAGUAAUUACUAUGUAAGAAUUACAUGUAAAGGGUUUAUGAAUUAUUUAUUGUUUGGUGCAAACCUGAAUCUUGAUUCUGCCCUGUUGUUCCCUCCCUGGGGUACUUGCAUUGAGAUCUUUCUACAAUCGACUGUAGAAGCUUGUUUAUAUCUGAAGGGUGCUUAUAAGUGCUACACAUAAAGAAUUAAAAUGUUACAGCUCUGCUUAUGGUGCAGUGACAGAUGCUGGUGUUACAGUGCCUUAGUGGGUGGUUUCUAGUUCAAUUUUCUGUUACACAGCCGUAAUUUGUAAUACUGCUUUUGCAUUGUUGUGUUGCAAAUACAUCAGUCAGGGACUUAUUAAAGAUGGGUGAACUCUGCAGGAUCUAGAGGUCUGGGUAAGAUAACCAAAAUCUCUAGUAGUUUUUCAGAGCUUAAUGAGAGGUGGAGUUUUCUAUCAGUGCUUUCAGGUAUAAAUCUUUCCCUUUACAAUGAUGUAUCAAUUUUUGCAGGCUGCCUUAUCAUCCAGGAGUAGGAGACAGUGAGCUGAAGGUAUGUGCUUUCUGUACAGAGUAGAGCAUUCCUUAGUUGGGCUGAACAUCAGCAGAUGUUUCUGAGGAGUUUCCUAAGCUGGGUUUUAAUACUGUCUUUGAUGUCCAGAGGAGAUCACAGCUUUAGCCAUGUAGAUUUCUCUGAAGCAAUUACUAACCUAAUAGCCAUAAUUAAGGGUCUGUCACACUAGAGAGAAGCAAGGAAUAAGAGACUGAUCGUUAUUCAGCAUCAUGUUUACAGAAGAGGUUAUAACUCUCACUGGAGACAAACUGAUAGCUGUCACUCUGGAUGCCUGUUUGUGUGCUCACUAAAGGUGAGUUGGUGUACAUUAUUUAUCUUGAUAUCACAGGAUCCAUUGCAAAGAAUACCCAGAAACAGAAGACUUUAUUGUUUCUUACUCAUUAAAAGAAUCUCUUCAAUUUGAUCUCUUCAAGUCAUUUGUGGGAACAUGGAGCCCCUAAGGCAAUACAGUGUUUGAAGAUGGCUUUCAUACAUGGGACUCUUGGUUACUUCCCAGCUCAGGUUCACAGGCUCUGAGCUGAACAAUUACGUCCUCACAACUUCUAGAAAGGAACGCAGGCAAAAUUGAGGUAUUGUGCUCUAAAGCUGAAAUCUUAAAAGUUCCCUUAACCCUAUAUCCGAUCCUAGAGGCCCUCCAGAAUCUGCAAGUUGGUACCUCAAAUCUUGGCCAGCAUAGCUCUUCCAGCACCUGCAAUGAUGCUUUUCCCCCUGAAACACGCUGAAGUCUAGACAAUACCUUGACGUGUAACCUCAUAUUAGGCUGACUAUUCCCCACAAUAUUAAUAAGCUUUAACACUUAUUUCUCCUAUGGUGAAAUGGUCACCUCCCACGUGCUGGAACCGCCAACCAUAUGCCAAGGAGAUCAAGCUGUCAGAUUUGAGAAGAGCACUGGGAGUAGUGCAUUGUGUCCAAUUCACUGUGCUUGCCUGCCUCUGGGAGAGCAGCUCAGCAGCAGCAGUGGUUGUGUGCUCUGCUGUUCCUGGGUCCCGUUGCGAGUUCCUGAUAAGCCAUCUCAGAGGGGAUGAUACCAGCCUGAAUUCUGUCUACUUUCUUCUGGCAAGGAGACAGAUGUGUCUUCCUGCUGCAUGAUAUAAUGGCAACUCUGAGUGCUGGACCAUGCUAUGGAAGACAAGUGUCUGCACUGAGGCACACUCCUAACCCCAGGGGAGGAAGGCUUUUGGUUCAAAAAGGGCAGAGAAGGAAUACCCUCAUGAAAAUCUGAGACCACAAAUACCUUGCCCUGCACAUAAUGAUCCUCUCUUUGGUGGAAGACUGACCCAGCCAAGUUGGAACACAUCGUGUAAAGUUGUCAUCGCUCCUCUGCAUUUCCACACUUAUUAAACCUGCUUUCUUCAUUCUCUGUAACAUAAUGCAACUAGAAAUAUAUCAGCCACAACAGCAAUCUUUUCCUCUCAUCAGCUCUAUGGCAGCAGCUCUGCCUCCAGUCUGUGCUGUUACUAGCAGGGUAGCUCCAAGUAAUCGUUUGUUUUCAAUGCACAACAAAGGCCUAUACGGCAUCAGGGGGCCCAUGAAGUGGUUGAAGUUUAUCAUUGGUGGCCUUUAUUCUGUAAAGCAUUUAAGCACCACAGUUUUACUAAAGGUGCUGUGAAUAUUCACUCAGUGCCCAUGGGUGAACAUGGUUCACCAGACUCCGGUGUUAACACCACAGCUCUACCUUGCUUAUGGAACUUGAAAACUUUUCCAUCAGUUUCCUGUCUGAACAGAUGUAACUUAUAUAAUGCUUUUUAAAACAAACAAACAAACAACAAAAGAUAUAUUCAUAUCUUGAAGGUACAGGGCCUUGAGGAAAAUGCGUUAACAUGGUGAAAGGCCAAGCUUAACCACUCAGUGCUCCAGAAAGAGAACGCUGUUAUUCUCCAGGAAGAGAAUUGUGAAAAAACAGGCUGUCCCGCACACAAAAUGUUCUCUUUAUUCUCUACAUGAAUGAGUUUGUAUCUGCUGAUAACCCACUUCUUUCCAAGGGCUUCAGGUUUAGGAUUCCCUUUGAUGCUAGACUCACUGCUAGGAAUAGUAAACCACUCUAACUUUGAUGGAGAUACAAUUAUUCCCUAUAGUCAGCUAUUCCAUUGUUUCCUCUAAAGCUUUUAUUUAUGCCACCAUUUCACUUUGGGUAGGUUUCCCCCUUCAACCUUUCUGAUUUAAAUCAUACCAGUAAAAAAAGUUACAAAUCAGAUAGCCCAAGAGGCAUGCAAUAUUUUCAUAUAAAAUAUAGAUAAAUUUGUGCUUUUCUGUAACAUAUGUAACUAAAAUUGUAUCAAGGAUUGCAACCACCAUCUUUUUCUUUCGUCAACCCUCUUGCAGCAGCUCUGCUUCCCGUCUGUGCUGUCACUACCAGGGUAGCUGUGGUAGCAGCCUCCGACAGAGUCCUGGGAUCACAGAAACCACCUGGCCCAGGGCUAGAGAUGUCUUGGUCUGAACACAUGUUGGUGCCAACACUUCUGAAGGUUUCAGCCUGUCUGGAGCACUGGAGUGUUACAUCAGGCAGCUCAGCCUAGUAAUGGUAACCUAAGCUACCAGCAGCAGGGAGGCAUUUGUGCUGUGCUUUGCUUAGAGGAGCGUUCAGAGCCUGUGACACUGUCUGACACUGACUGAUUAAGGCACAGGUACUGUGGUGCUGUCAGGAAAGAAGAAAGAGGACUUGCGAUGCUAUUGUUGCUCAUGGAUCUCCAGCAGAGCAGCAGCCAGACACCAGUGCACAGCAGCCUCGUGCUCUACCACCUUUUCUGAGAAUUACUGCCUAGUCAACCCUAAAGCGAUUAAGAACACACCAUGUUUUUAACACAGCCUGUUCCUCCACACAGACUGCACAGACUGUAUAUCAUAGGUGAUCAAACCCUUAAGACUGGGGAGGGAAUUGUGACAGGAGGAGAAGAAGGAGAUGUGACAAGGACAAAAAUAUGAACUCUAUAAUGAGUCUUAUCAGGAAACCAUUAGGAAGGCUGCUGGUACACCAAACAAGACCAGGUCCUAACGGAGAGAAACAGAGCUACCUAGUUAUGCUGCAGAUACAAACUAAUCCUCCUUUUCUCCAUUGCUUUUACUCGCCAUCUUUAAAAACCACACAUUCAAAUUUCUUCCUGAAUGCAAUUUUCUGGGUAUCCCCAAAGUUCACACUACACUACUAGUGGGAAUGGUGAGAAGGAUUGCUUAGCCAGGCAGCCUAGGAUGUGGGACUAAAAUUUUAGUUUUAUUUAGUUUAAUUUGUAGGGCUUUCCCGGUAAAAAAAUGCAGGGGUUUCCUAUGUACCUUUUCAUCUCAUCUUUGCAAGUGAUGAAAUAAUCAUUUCCCUUCUCUCUGAGGGUGAUGCUGAAGCCCUCAGAAAGAGUAACAUAUGUGGUGUCCAGGCUUGGGGACACUCUUUAGCUCAGACUUACAUCUUUGGCCUUCUGGAGUCACCUCUCCUCCUUACAGCCUAUGCAGGCAGGAAGGCAAGCAGGAAAAUAGAAAAUCUCAUCUAUCUUGAGAAAUCUGAGAUCUCUGCGGACCUGAGAUGCUCUUUCUCCUUUGUGUGCCAAACUAGAUGUGUUUCUGUCGCCUGUGUGGUGCCAGGAUUGUCCUUGUCCUCCACGAAGCAGAGGCCAGGGAAAACUGGAAAGAUUCUAAUCUUCCUUCCACUGGGGAGGAGGCAAUUGUGCUUCCAGGAGCCUUCUCUUAUCACAACUGGGCAGUUUUAAUCUCAGCUUUCUUAAUAAAUAUUUAGUGGGCAAUUGAUAUGUUCCCUUCUGCUCUAUCUAAGAGAGCUGAUUAUUGCUAGGGUCAGGUGGUUACAUGAGCUACAUGUAGCAGUAGGAAAUAAGUACAAACCUCAUCUCCUCAGCUUUAAUUACAAUAUCAGUGCUAUCAAAUUCCAUGUGGAUACACCUCCCUCAUCAGCUCCAAACAAUUUCAGAUGUGUGUACUAACAGGAUCCACAACAUCUUUAACUCAUGAUCUUCUGUCAUUACAAUAUAAUUACUCUAAUGCAUCUUUACUGUGCAACGCCAGCCAAAACUAACAAUCAUUGAGCAUACAGUCUAAUGGCAGAAUAGAGAUGUUAAUGUAAGCUUUCAGCUUACAGGGACUUGCAGCAUUUCUUCCAGUCCCAUUAUUCAACAUUUGUGGGCAACCUCACUCCUACUUGCUUCCCUUCCUUCUCUAUAGUUAUUUUAUGAAACAAUUAUGUUAUUCUAGCACUGAGAAGCCCCAGGUGGCACUGAAAUCCCAGGGGGAGUCUGACGUAAGAGUCAAUAAAGUGGCAAUAAAUUGUCUCACCUUGGAUAGCUCUGUGGAUAUAGAAGAGGAAUAGAUGAAGGUCAGUCACAGAAGAACAACCGUAUUUUACACCUUGCUGAGCUAUGGGUGAGGAUCUGGGCCUUGUGUAGAUGUUGGAAAGAGGUUAGGAGCAAUUUGACAGAAAAUGCAGUACUGGCUAAUUAAGUUAGCAAAUAUCCCUCGAUUAAGUGCUGGUAGAGGUCAGAUACAAAAGUCAGUUAGAGAGAACAGUGUAAGCUUCAAAGGGUCUUUGUGGCAAAAAGGUAAAGAAUGAGCCAGUGGCAUAACCUGUCAAAUGACAAGCCAUGAAGAUAAUUUUAGCCUUUCAUUUCUACCACUGUAGAAAGCGAAGAACAAAGUACACAUUUUGAAGAGAGAAAAUGGGAUGAAUAUUUGAAACUACGUAAGGAUUUUUAAAUGAGAAUAAGCUGCAGACAUCUCUCUCAUUGCACUAUGCAAUGUAUUCUUGUGCCUUUGCAGAGAUUUACAAAACUCUCUCAGUAUAUCAAUUUCAUCAGUCUUUUUACUAUUCUAAAAUGGCAAUCACUUUAAACUGCAUAAUAGCAUCUGUAUUUGAUUCAUGUGGCUUUCUAUGUGACAACAGUCACUAUGAUUAAAACAUACAUUAUCAAGACUUGAAAAAGACAGUUAAACUGGAAUGGCAUUACAUUGUCACCUAUCCAAAUUGUAAUUGGUGUUUAAUUGUAGCUCUGCAAGCAAACAUAGAAAGACAACAAAGAAACCUCUGGUUUGAUUGAAAGCAAUUAAGAGAGGAAAACCCAAGAGAGAUAAUAUAUGAAGUUUCAAGGAAGAAGCAUUCCUUCCCUGAAAUGCAAAGGCCCUUCUUGAGUCUGGGAGAGGUAAAGCAUGGGAAUAGUGCAGCUGUUUCUGGGAACUUAUCUUUGGAAUGGAAAUGCAAAUUAAGAGCUGCCAAGCUGAUUUUUAUCUCCGUGUAUCACCCAUCAUAUUUAUACUGUAUAUGUUUGCUGAUGUUCUGUAUUAUCCCAGUUAACUCUGUUGUUUGCAUAUUAACUCUUUUGUGUCCCAGAUGCUCAUACAAGGAUCAUAAAUAUUUUGUGAAAGGUAUAACCAUCACUUUCAACAGUAUAAACUGUUGUUUCCUCAAACAGCUUUCCCUCUGUUCUUGGAGAAGGCUCAAAGAAUCCCUGAAGAACUACUUCAGAAUGAGAGUUUUUCAGCAUCAGCUCACAGGGAUAUGGAGGAAGCAGUUCCUGAGACAAAGUACUUCCACAACAGUCACUUUGCAUCUAUACCCAGUGCCUAAAAUCAAGAGGAUGCAGAAAUGACAGUUUUGUGCAGUACUAACCAGACUUGCAAUGCUGACACAACACAUAGGGAGAAAAAGAAAGAAAGAACAGUGAAAAUUGUGUGAAGGCUCUAAGGAUAAGGGAUGCUUUUAAGGUGAAGAUUGAUUCCAGUGGUCUUCCAAACAGACCAAAAAUCAGGAUAGUCGAGAUUGACAACAUUUCAUUGGUAUGAGCAAGAGAAGAGUCAGAUUAUUCUUUGCCAAGCUAUAUGACUAUGGAGCACCAUUCUGAUAUUUCUAACUCUCUUACCACUUCACUAUUGAUAUUGUGACAGGAUUUGUAAUACCAUUAGGCUGUGUUGCCAAGAGCAAUUCUUUUAAAGAGUAUGACACUGAAUACAGGCUCUGGUAAAUGAUGCCUUCAGUUAGAAAGCGUGUGACAGAACUCUUCCAGAACCUUUUACAGAGAAUAUGUCUUGACCAAAAAGUGACAAAAGAGAAAAUAGUGCUUAAACCUGUGCAACAGAGCACUGAGACAGAAAAAUCUCUACUGAAAAUGCCUUUUUGUGCAAGAAUUGAUCUCACUGUCAUUUUUAGUAAUGUAAAUCACAAGGAGCCGUUGAAAUCAGGGGGAACUACAACAGUAUAAAUCAGGUGUCAUAUGAAUAACAAAGUUGUAAGAUAUUGUUAUUGGGUCACUCAGUUCUGCUCCAUAGUUUUAUUUUAGCUCUAACAUUUAUCAGCUUUCCUUGUGCAAGCUAACUCUUAAAAUCAACAUAUUUUCUGCAGUUUGGCAACAAUGGUUAUUCUGGAUUGGGUAUUCACAGAGCAAGUAACAGAGAAUUUGUCAUGAUGGGUCCAUCUCCUCUUCUACAGCUCCUCUCAUGCUUUAUGUCUCUACUUUAUAUACCCAUAAAAUAUCUAACUGACUAUGAAAUGACAGUAAGAAAAAGUAAGAAGUGUUCCCUUUUCAUCAUAUUUCUCUGACACAUGAGAUUUGAUCAUCUGUAUUAUCAUAGCUAUAAAUAGCAUUAGCAAGCAUAUUACCCAGCCCCAUUACAUACAGACACAUUAUCUGCCAUGGAAAAACCCAAGGGCUAAUUAUUCUCUGCAUAAAAUAUUUUCGUUAUUUGUUCUAAACGCACUGGUCCUUAAUGUCAUAAUGCAUUGAUUGCACUAAGCUGUGAAAUGCAGAAAAUACCCCCAUCACUGUGUUCUGUUCCCACUACUUCCUACUCUUCUCAAACAAAACCACUCUAGGAUGAGAAUCUCUGUGGUAUGAAGUGGUAAAUGAUCCAAAGGACUGUCACUUUAUACCUUCUGAAUCUUUAUAGUCUUUGAGGUGGUUUGUAUGUAAAUCUUACUGUACAUCUCACUAGCUCUGUCACCUUUUUAUGAGCACUCACAGUCUAUAUAUCAGCUGUCUUGACCAAAAUUUGGAAUAACUUUUAGAACAUAGAAACACGGCUCCUGAAAAUGAUCACUGUCAUAUCAUCAUGAUGUCAUGAAAGGAGAACUAAAAUAAAUCAGAACUUCCAGACUUCUAGUUAUUAUGCUGGUCUCACUAGAAACUCAGCUUAUUUUCUGGGGGAGUUGUUUUGUUUGAGGGUUUUUGUCUGUCUCUUUGUUUGUUAAAGAAUACUCCACAAAGACAGUGUUAUUUUCUUGGGGUUUUGUUGCUCUGGAAAUAAUUUCGUCCAGUAAUAAUUUAUAAUCUCUGAAAAUACAUCUCCAAUUGUGAUCCAGUUUCUAUUGUAAUGCUGCAAAUUGAUGAAAUUAACAUUAAUACUGAUGAAAUUUAUAAUGUUUUAUGUGAUUAUUGCUUCACUAAUCACUAUGUAUUCCACUGCUAGCUGAAUGCGAGAUCAUUAAUACACUAUAUGUAUAAACAUUAAGCUUAAUGGAGUUAAAUGAUGAUAUGGAAAGGCAGGAUGGCUAAUUAAUGAUCACACAAAAAAUUAGUACUCUUUCUUGAUAAUUCACAAGCUGUUCUAUGAGGAACUGCAGCCUUGCAGAGUAAAAUGCAGUGCAUCCCUUAAUUACAAAUAAGCUAGGGAGUUGUGAAAGCACAGACUACCUUUUAACCUCCUGUUACUAUAGACUGUUUUCAAGCUUCUCAGCAAGAUUUUUCCUGGUGAAAAGGUAAAUUAAAGGAAAACCUUUUCUACUAUCUUUAUUGGUCACCUUUAAGUGAAUAUUUGACUGAUGGGACCUAGUCAAGCUUUACAUUUAAGAGACACUUAAUGAAACAGUACAUCAGUCUUAAAUGGUCCUUAAUUGGUUCGUGUGAUAUGUCUGUGUUGGUACUUAGUGCAGGAUUGAAUUUCACACUAAAGGCUUAUUUCUACUAACCCUUAACUCAUGCUGAGUAUCCCUCUCUCCCUUGUGCAUAGUCUCAUUGAUUUCGCCCAGAGUAAUUGUCUUUCUCUGUUCCACAAUUCUAAAUGUUUUCCUCUGUAGUUUUCAUAAAAGAACAAAAUAAUUUUUUUCUAGAUCAUUUAAGUCCUUGGAUAGAACAAAUUAAUUCUAACUUAAUUCUACUAUAUGACAAGCAAUAAAAAGCAUCUGUAUGAAUUAAAAACAUUAUAUCAACUCUUUCCAUCUCACAUUCAGACUGUAAAAUAACACUUUGUGUCCUCUCAAAUGCAACUGCCAGUAUUGCCCAGAAACAUGAAAUUGGCACAUAACUCCAUAAAUCCUUUGCCUAAUAUCACUGCCUGUGGAUCAAAUGUCCCUGACAGUGGAUCAAAUAUCAACUCAUUUUAUUUGCCCUGCAGUUUUCUUAUGACACAAAAUUAAUGCUUUUUGAUUUUUGAUUUUUUAAGGAUGGGUUCUCUUGAUUUCUCCAGUUACUACUGCUUUUAAUUGACUACCUACAGCUGUAUUAUUGGAUAUAAAAAAUUUCAGUGAGAGCAUUAUCCUACAAAACCUAAAGUCACGGCACAUUUUUCGAGGUAUUUCAGCAAAUAUUAACUUUGGGCAAAACUCAAUGGCUUUUUUCUGCUUGGCCUAGUCUUUGAUAUCUCAUAGGUUAGUAGAGCUCCUCUUUUGAAUAUAAGAACUGGCUUUUGUUCAAUUUUUUUACGUUUUUUAGUGAUAACAGAGUUUCAGCUGAUAAAUUCUAAUUUAUUAGAGAGAGCAAGAACAUUUUGUAGUGAUCCUGUACCUUCAAGACAUAGACUCCAUCUUUUCAGACAAGACACAUUAUGCAGAAAACUCACGUUCAGAGCCAUUUUAAAAAUGUUUCAUUGAAGUUCAUUCAUAUAGUCAGAUAUGUGAUAUUGGACACUUGGUCCAAAGGAAAAUGUUAUAAUGCUAUAAUUUCCAUAAUGAUCUCAAAGGUCAGGCAUUUCCCAUGUCUUUGACAGUAUCAAAAAAAGCCUGGACAUUUCUUCUUACAGCUUGACCUGAUGUGCCACAGUGGAUGUUUGACAUUAGCAAACAUGGCCACAUAACAGGCACAGCAGAGUGAAGAAAAGUCAUCCCAUCCUGCCCAGAAUUCAGGGAGGCUGCAGCACAGAGCCUGUGUGUCAGUGAAGGACAUUACAAAAGGGAGAAAGAAAACACAAUGAAACACAAGAAACACAAGAAAAAAAAUCCUCAAUAUUAGACAAAAAAAUCGAAGGCUUUACUGGAUCACCAAGGAGAGAUCUGUUUUUACAAGCAUACUUGACAUAUAUUCUCCAUAAUCUUAUAGAGACACUGGAUAAAUAUUUAUUUUAAACCCUGUGUGGCUUUGGAAUUGUAAUAUUUGAAAUGGUUCAGUCCUGUUACAAUGAGGAAAACUAGUCAUAGGCA